UACGUAGGGUGCGAGCGUUGUCCGGAAUUAUUGGGCGUAAAGAGCUCGUAGGCGGUGUGUCACGUCGGCCGUAAAAACCUGCAGCUUAACUGUGGGCGUGCGGUCGAUACGGGCAUCACUGGAGUUCGGCAGGGGAGACUGGAAUUCCUGGUGUAGCGGUGAAAUGCGCAGAUAUCAGGAGGAACACCCGGUGGCGAAGGCGGGUCUCUGGGCCGAUACUGACGCUGGAGGAGCGAAAAGCGUUGGGGGAGCGAACAGG
rnacentral:rRNA from 1 species